rnacentral:lncRNA from 1 species
AGAUCUUAAAAACUGAGACUGAAACAUGUUUAGAUAAAAGAAACAUGUGCCGGUGGUCAUGGCUGGUGGAGUGUUAGGUAUAAUUAAUGGUUUGAUUAUUGCUGUGAUCAUUAGUACCGUACGUAAUUAACCCCAAGUCUUAUCACCUUUUGAUUUGGUAGUACCAUGCAACCUACAUAUAGUCAUACUCCUGCUAGCUAUAUAUGGUGCUCGGAUUUAUGUCACCCAGAAUGCCCG